UGAGGUUAAGGUUGAAAUCAAGUUUGGGGGAAGAAAAGAAAAAGAUCAAUAAAAAAAAAUUUGCUCAAAUUGAAAGAUAAGGUUGAGCUGUGAAAGAAAAUGGUAUGUGAGAAAUGAUAAAUUUUGGGAUUUGAGUACUGAAUUGAGAAUUGAAGUUGUUCUCUUCUUAAUAGGUGUCUUUUGAAUCCAAGAAAAACCAUUAUUCUUUUUCUAGCCAAGCCAAGCCUUACCCUGAAAAGACCUUUGGACUUAACCAACAGUG
rnacentral:lncRNA from 1 species